UACGGGGGAUGCAAGCGUUAUCCGGAAUCAUUGGGCGUAAAGCGCCUGUAGGUUGUUUAAUAAGUCUGUUGAUAAAGACUAGGGCUUAACCCUAGGAAAGCAAUGGAAACUACUAGACUAGAGUAUGAUAGGGGUAGAGGGAAUUUCUAGUGUAGCGGUGAAAUGCGUAGAUAUUAGAAAGAACACCGGUGGCGAAGGCGCUCUACUGGAUCAUUACUGACACUCAGAGGCGAAAGCUAGGGUAGCAAAAGGGAUUAGAUACCCCUGUAGUCCUAGCCGUAAACGAUGGAUACUACAUGUUGCGUUUUAUAUGCAGUAUGGUAGCUAACGCGUUAAGUAUCCCGCCUGGGGAGUACGACCGCAAGGUUA
rnacentral:rRNA from 1 species